GAGUCACAGAACCUUGCACGACCGCAUUGCCGACAUGUGUGGAUUACUUUGCUGAAUGCAAUGGCACAAUUUGUGUUUGCAUCGAAAAUUUUUUGUUUAAUGGAACACAUUGUCUCGGCAUGGAGUUGUGCGAGCCAUGUGACCCAUCUAUAACUACAUGCAGAUCUGGUCUGGUAUGCAGCGCAAACACAUACCGAUGUGAAUGUCCACCGGGCCAGGUUCAAAUUGGAGACACGUGUGUCGGUAGAUUGGUGGGUGAAGUGUGCACUGGAAGUCGGGACACGUGCACGGACGACAAUGCGGGAUGUAACGGAACCAUAUGUGAUUGCAACGACGGAUUUGAUUGGAACGGAUUGAUUUGCG